rnacentral:rRNA from 1 species
UACGGGGGGGGCAAGCGUUGUUCGGAAUUACUGGGCGUAAAGGGCGCGUAGGCGGUCUGUUAAGUCGGAUGUGAAAACUCUGGGCUCAACCCAGAGCCUGCAUCCGAAACUGGCAGGCUAGAGUUCUGGAGGGGGUAGCGGAAUUCCUGGUGUAGCGGUGAAAUGCGUAGAUAUCAGGAGGAACACCGGUGGCGAAGGCGGCAUCCUGGACCAACACUGACGCUGAGGAGCGAAAGCCAGGGGAGCAAACGGG